rnacentral:rRNA from 1 species
AACGAACGCUGGCGGCAUGCCUAACACAUGCAAGUCGAACGAGACCUUCGGGUCUAGUGGCGCACGGGUGCGUAACGCGUGGGAACCUGCCCUUAGGUUCGGAAUAACUCCCCGAAAGGGGUGCUAAUACCGGAUAAUGUCUUCGGACCAAAGAUUUAUCGCCUUUGGCUGGGCCCGCGUUGGAUUAGCUAGUUGGUAGGGUAAAAGCCUACCAAGGCGACGAUCCAUAGCUGGUCUGAGAGGAUGAUCAGCCACACUGGGACUGAGACACGGCCCAGACUCAUACGGGAGGCAGCAGUAGGGAAUAUUGGACAAUGGGCGAAAGCCUGAUCCAGCAAUGCCGCGUGAGUGAUGAAGGCCUUAGGGUUGUAAAGCUCUUUUACCCGGGAUGAUAAUGACAGUACCGGGAGAAUAAGCGCCGGCUAACUCCGUG